CAGCACCUUGACCUCAACCCAGAGAUGGAGGAGUCUCACAUCCAGAUACGUAUCCACGCAACCCCCACGCUGACCGCUUCAACCUCCAGAGCAACUAUCCACUGUCAGUACACACACACACAGACACACACACACAGAGACACACACACACACACACACACACACACACCACACACACACAGACACACACACACACAGACACACACACACACACACACAGACACACACACACACACACACAGACACACACACACACACACACACACACACACACACACACACUUCCCUCUGUGGUUAGGGGCUCUUUGGCGUCACCUUUCCUGAUUUGGACAUUUUUGAUGAGAAUUCCCCACCUCAAUCUCUACUGUUUCCCUACUUAACCCUCCCAGGGGCUCACACACACACACACACACACACACACACACACAUACACACACAUAGAUACACACACACACAGAUACACUCCUACACACACACACCUACACACACACACACACGGGCACACGCACACACACACACACACACACACACACACACACACACACACGGGCACACACACACACACACACACACACGGGCAAACACACACACACACACACACACACACACACACACGGGCACACAGACACACACACACACCACACACACACACGGGCACACAGACACACACACACACACACACGGGCACACACACACACACACGCACACACACACACACGCACACACACACACACGGGCACACACACACACACACACACACACACACAGAGACACUCACACACACACACACACACACGCACACUGCGUGCGCGUUGCCGCCUUAAUGAGGUCUCCUCUGGUGUUUCGUAGGAACGUCUCCAUGAAUACAGAAGACGUCCUUUUGGACGCAGACGUUGUUCUUUGUUGUGGUUUUGUUGCCUUUUCUUUGAUGUGUAACAAGUUGUUUUGGUACGAUACGGAAUAAUUGUGUCCAUGUACACAAAAUGCAUUUGGUUGUGUUGCAUAAUGAACAGCCAACACAUCAAUAAUCAAACACAAACGCAGUUGUCAUUUUGUGUUACACACUUAAUCUUAUGUCUGCUAUAAUUAGAUAAGUAGAGGUACACACAGCUCCUGUCACAAAUAAAACAGGGACAACGGGUGAUGGGACCUUCUCCUCCUCCUACCAGAGGACCUCUGCUUGGGGAGGAGCCUUCAUCACGUAUCUGCCUUCAUUCGGAGACGAGCAGCGACAAGAGAAAAGAUCCCGUUGUUGUUGUUAUUAGACGUGUGCAGUCGUCCCUCCCCAGUGAGACCCAUGUGAGAGGGGGCCGCUUCAGAACGAUGCUAUUUAUAAAGAGAAGAGCACGGAGAGCAUUUUGUGGAGAUCACACAGAACCUGGACCGUCAGUGAGUAGAGAGGUGUGUAGUCACACACACACACACACACACACAGUUUACCCACAUGCACAGAGACACAUAAGUACCUGUGGACCUGAUGAAGCCUGAGGUUAUGGUUAUGAUGCAUGGUGCUGUGGGUGGAUGGUAGUUACACACACACACACACACACACACACACUCCGCAGAGAGAGAAAGCGAUCAAUGAUCACCCAGAGUGAACUUUGCCCUUUAACAUCAGUAAAAAGUAAGGAAAAAGAGAAGGAAAAGACUGAGGAAUUGAAGCAAAGGAGGGAAGGAGUUAUGAGACCACAGAAAGGAAAGGAAGGAGGUAGGUAAGAGGACACAGAAGUAAGGAAAGGAAAGGAGGGAGGAAGGCACAAAGCCACUGGAAUAAUAAAGUAAAAGAGGGAGUAAGGAAAGGAGGGAGUUAAAAGAGGAAAAGAAGAGGAAGGAAAGAAAAGGAGGAAAGAAGGAUGAUGGAAAGGAAAAGGGGGGAGAAGGUAAGAGGCCACAGGAGGACAUUCAGCAUCCAGCAGAGCAGGAAACAGAAAGAGGAUGGAUGGCCGAGGCGCUGAGCGCUAAUCUGCUAGCAGUGGCGUCUGUGAUGUAAUACUUAAUGCAUGCAGCAGCUGAUAAAUCAGCUGAUGGCGCGUUGAGAGGGUCAGAGCUAAUGACAUCAUCCACAGAGAGAACACUUCCAACCCUCACAUCCACUCACUACACCUCUCCUACUCCACCCGAGGGGGUUACGGUUCCCUCCGGCCACAUACGCUGGAGCUCAAGUACAAUGUCACGUGAUGCUGCAGGAAUAUCUACUUACAGGUUUUUUUGCAAGCUAAAAGCUAGCACUUCUUUUCAAGAAGUCAAGAACCAACCAGAAAGAGACUUGUUAUAACCAGGAAGAAAGAGACACAGACUACAGAGAGACAAAAGAAUUACAAAGAGACACAACUACAAAAAGACCUAAAUAAAACAACUACAGAUAGACAGAGACGUUUUGUUGACGCCAACGCGUCAUAAUGCGUUCACAAGCUAACGCUUUCUCACAGGCUAACCCGUCUUCACUCGGGUCGGGUACCGAGAAAGGUACGUAGAUACCGGUCCUAUACGACCGAAACGCAACGCAGAUUUUGGUGCUUGCUUUCGGUUCCUGAGCCGAUUAAAAAACUUUAUUUACACACUGUGAUGACUCGUCCUCGCAGCAGCUAACAAUAGCUCACCGCUUACGUAGCCACAGUAGCUAGUUAGCCAUCUGCCUACUCGUUAUGUGGACGCAGACAGACGAUUGAGACCACGGGCUCACCAGCGGACACAAAGCGCGUAUUAAAGUAUUAAAGUAUUAAACCGAGUGUGUAGUGUUGUUCCUUCGAUGUUGUUCGUCAUUAAGCCGCAUUGAGCUGCAGACACGUGACUUCAUUUCCUCACGUGAAUGACGGCAGAUCGUUUAGAUCUUUUUGUCUUUAUUUUACGCGGCAAAGUGUUAUAAUGAAUUCUAUCACAGAUAAACGAUGUGCUCUCGCGCCUCACGCAGCUCUUACGUGUUGCACCUGCUGCAAUCAUCACGGCAAUAAAUCGAGACACACAGGAAGCGUCAAUCCAACUUUAGUGCACAAAGCAUAAAUGAUUAAUAGUCCCCAAAUUCCAAUGAACGCAUAGAUACACUUCUUACAGAGGACAAACACUAAGUAUACUGUUAAUAUAUUGUUCAAAGGCUAACGUGUCCUCAUAGGCUAACAUGUCCUCAUAGGUUAACAUGUCCUCAUAGGGUAACGUGUCCUCAUAGGCUAACAUGUCCUCAUAGGCUAACGUGUCCUCAUAGGCUAACAUGUCCUCAUAGGCUAACAUGUCCUCAUAGGCUAACGUGUCCUCAUAGGCUAACGUGUCCUCAUAGGCUAACAUGUCCUCAUAGGCUAACGUGUCCUCAUAGGCUA
ensembl:lncRNA